rnacentral:rRNA from 1 species
UGGGGAAUCUUGCACAAUGGGGGCAACCCUGAUGCAGCGACGCCGCGUGAGCGAUGAAGCCCUUCGGGGCGUAAAGCUCUUUCGACCGGAACGAUAAUGACGGUACCGGGAGAAGAAGCUGCGGCUAACUACGUGCCAGCAGCCGCGGUAAUACGUAGGCAGCGAGCGUUGUUCGGAGUUACUGGGCGUAAAGAGUGCGUAGGCGGCGAGCCAAGUUUGGUGUGAAAUCUCCCGGCUUAACCGGGAGGGUGCGCCGAAAACUGGUUGGCUGGAGUAUGGGAGAGGAAAGCGGAAUUCCUGGUGUAGCGGUGAAAUGCGUAGAUAUCAGGAGGAACACCUGCGGUGUAGACAGCUUUCUGGACCAAAACUGACGCUGAGGCACGAAAGCGUGGGUAGCAAACA